rnacentral:tRNA from 1 species
AUCUUUUUAGUACAGAUAGUAUAUUUGACUUCCAAUCAAAAAGCCUUGGUUAAACCCCAAGAAUAGAUA